rnacentral:rRNA from 1 species
UACGUAGGGUGCGAGCGUUAAUCGGAAUUACUGGGCGUAAAGCGUGCGCGGGCGGCUUUGCAAGACAGAUGUGAAAUCCCCGGGCUCAACCUGGGAACUGCAUUUGUGACUGCAAGGCUAGGGUACGGCAGAGGGGGAUGGAAUUCCGCGUGUAGCAGUGAAAUGCGUAGAUAUGCGGAGGAACACCAAUGGCGAAGGCAAUCCCCUGGGCCUGUACUGACGCUCAUGCACGAAAGCGUGGGGAGCAAACAGG